rnacentral:lncRNA from 1 species
AACUUCCAUAUGCCGUGGGUGCAGCCCAAAAAAACAAAAACAAAAAAAAAAAAGGACUUUAAAUAUAAAGUUCCAUAUAGAAUGAAAGUAAAAGAUGGAAAAAGAUAUACAAUACAACCAUUAAGUAUAAGAAAGCUGGUGUGCAUCUCAUAAUGCCAAACAAAGUAGAUUUGAUAUUAGGCAUAUUAGCAAAGAUAAAGAUGGUACAUAAGGAUAAAAGAGCUAAUUCAUCAGAAUGAACUAAUACUAAAAAAUAUGCACGUACAUAACAACUGAGUUUUAAAGACUUAAAGCAGAAAUGGACAUAAAUAGUGGGAGAAAUAGACAAAUCUACAAUCAUAGUUAGAAAUUUUAACACCCUUUUUUCAACACUCAUAGAACAAUUCAGGAAAAAAAUCAGUAGUCAUAGACUGAACUGAAAAAUUCCUCAGCUUUAACCUAAUUAACAUUUAUAGAGCAUCAUACCCAACAGCUGUAGAAUGCUCAUUCUUUUUGAAUGCAUAUGGUAUAUUCACUAAAGUAAAUCAUAUGCUGGGCCAUAAAACAAGUUUCUAUAAAUUUAAAAUGUUUGAAAUUGUAACAUUGUACAUUCUCUGGUUGUGAUGGAAUUGAAUUAAAAGCCAAAACCAAUAAAAUAUUUUUUAAAAAAACUUCCAUACCAAAAAUUUAAAGAGUAUACUUCUAAAUAAUCCACAGUUCAGAGGAGAAACUACACAGAAAUUAGAAAAUAUUUCAAACUGAAUGAUAAUGAUAAUGCAACAUAUAAAAAUUUAUGGGAUGCAGCUAGAGCAAGGGUUAGAGUGAAAGUUUAUAUUAGUGAAGAAGAGAGGCUAAAAAUCAGUGCUCUGGUUUGCUACUUGAGAAGCUAGAGAAGAAAAACCGAAGUAAACUCAAAAUAAGUAGAAGAAAGGUAAUAAUAGGAAUUCUGUGGUGUAGGGGGUUAAGGAUCUGGAGUUGUACUGUAGUGGCUUGGGUCACUGCUGUGGUAUGGGUUGACUCCUGGCCCAGGAACUUCUAUAUGCCAGGGGCUCAGCCAAAAAAAUUAGAAGUAAUAAUAAAAAGAAGAAAUCUAUGAAAUAGAAACUGAAAAUGAACCUGGAAAACGAAACUAAUGUAGAUCAUGUAGUUACUUGAAAACACUAAUAAAAUUUAUAAAUCCCUAGCAAAAUUCAUCAAGAAAAAGAAAAACUCACUACCAAAAUCAGGAUCGAAGGAUUUGAUCAUCAUUGAUGAUAAUAAGAGAAUCAUGUGAGCAACUUUAUGCCAAAGUAUUUGAAAGUGUAGAUAAAAGGGACAAAUUCUUUGAAAAACAUCAUUUGCCAAAACAAACACAUGAAGAAAUAGGACAUCUGAAUUGCACCAUAUCUAUUAAAAGAUUUUGAGUUUAUUAUCAAAAACCACACAAACACACGCUCAAACAAAAACACCAGGUGGUGUUAUUGGUGAAUGCUAUCAAACAUUUACAGAAGAAAUAAUACCAAUCCUAUACAGCUCUCAAGAAGUAUAUUUUUAAGGCCAGCAUACCACUGAUACAUAAACCUUACAAAGGCACCAGAGAAGGAAAAAAACAUAGACUAAUAUCCCUCAUGAAUACAGACACAAAAAUUCCUUAAGUGUUAGCAAAUCAAAUCUAGCAAUAUGUGAAAAGGAUAAUACACCAUGACAAGUGAAAUUUAGCUCAGAAAUUCAAGGUAGGUUUAACAUAUUAAAGUCCAUCAAUUUGCUUCAUCAUACUAAUAAAGGAGAGCCACAACAGGAACUCCAGAACAAUUUUUGAAAAAAUAAAGCAGUUAGAGGACUUAAACUACCUGAUUUUAAGACUGACAAUAGGGAGUUCCCAUAGUGGCACAGCGGAAAUGAAUCCAACUAGGAACCAUGAGGUUUCAGGUUCGAUCCCUGGCCUCGCUCAGUGGGUUAAGGAUCUGGCAUUUCUGUAAGCUGUGAUGUAGGUCAACGAGGCUCGGAUCUGAUGUUGCUGUGGCUGUGGCGUAGGUGACCCCUAGCCUGGGAACCUCCAUAUGCUGUGAGUAUGCCCCUAAAAAAAGCGCGCGCGCGCGCGAGCACGCACGCACACACACACACACACACACACACACACACACUGACAAUAAAGAAAGCUACAGUAGUCAAGACGGUGGUAUUGGCAUGAAGUCAGACAAAUGAUAGAUCCACGGAAUAGAAUACAGAGUCCAGAAAUGGAACAUAUAUAUGAUACGGUUAAGUGAAUUUCAACAAAGGCAAUAAGAUUAUUUAAUGGAUAAAUGUAUGGAGAAAAAUGAAUUUUAACUCCUACUGCCCCAGGGAUUUAAUUCAAGAAUCUACAGGAAAGGGAAAUCCUGAAGAAAGGCUGAAGUGGCUUCCUCCGGCUUGUCUGACUGCAGGAGCAGUAAAGAGAAUGUGAAAGACAGAUGAUGGACCUGGAAUUACCAGAAGAGGCAAGCUGGUGAAGGGGGAGGUCACUGGUGACCUGAAAUCAGACUCAGGGAUCACGGCCCCUGUGACCUUCAUUGAGUGUCUGUUCCAGUCAGGUACCUGGCUACUGCGAGGCUAAAACCAAGCCUCUGACCCAGAAGCCUGGCCCUAGGACAGAGCUGCCAAGUGAGUUUGGAAGCAGUAAUAACCAUACAUUUUGUCAGUGAGGGGGGGGUAAGAGCAGAAGGUGAGAGUGGGCAAAAGGCCAUAGUCAGAGAACCGGAGGUAGCUCUGGAGAGGCUCCGGUCCUGGGAAGGAACUUGGGUUCAAGAAGUACUCUGAAUUUUGGGAGCUUCCGUCCUGGCUCAGCGGUAACGAACCCGACUAGGAUCCAGGAGGACUCAAGCUCGAUCCCUUCCCUCGCUCAGUGGGUUAAGGGUCCACUGUUGCCAAGAGCUGUGGUGUAGGCUGGCAGCUGUAGCUCCCAUUUGACCCUAGCCUGGGAACUUCCAAAUACCGCGGGUGUGUAAGACAAAAGAAGUACUCUGAAUUUCCAGGUUCGGAGAAACUCUGGGCGUAAUUUGCCGCCUCAGAGAAAAAAGGCAGCUUUCUACACUGCCAGGCACUGAUCGCACAACAGCCAGCCUAAGACUAGGCGGGGCCAUCUGCUACGCACCGUCAUUCCGAACCCCCGAGAGCAGCGCGCGUGGGAAUAGACAGCCGGCGCUCCACGAAAGACACUGCCUACAUCGUAUUUCCGACGGUUCUGCGGGCGUUCACCACGCGGCAGCCCGGACGGCGAGUUCUCCCGGAUCGCGGCGGGAAGCGCAGACCUCCGGAGUCCCGGAAGGGCGCACACCCAGCCCCCGGCCAUGGCUCCGGGACCCCAUCUUCCUCGUCGUCUUGAGUGUCGUGCUGUGGGUGAGUCCCCGCCGCGGGCCCCAGCUCGAAGAAGGCGUGCCUGGUGGCCGAGAGGGAGCGAAGAGUAG